rnacentral:rRNA from 1 species
UACGUAGGGUGCAAGCGUUGUCCGGAAUUAUUGGGCGUAAAGAGCUCGUAGGCGGUUUGUCACGUCGGCUGUGAAAACCCGAGGCUUAACCUCGGGCCUGCAGUCGAUACGGGCAGACUAGAGUUCGGUAGGGGAGACUGGAAUUCCUGGUGUAGCGGUGAAAUGCGCAGAUAUCAGGAGGAACACCGGUGGCGAAGGCGGGUCUCUGGGCCGAUACUGACGCUGAGGAGCGAAAGCGUGGGGAGCAAACAGG